GGUAGCGUGUCCGAGCGGCCUAAGGAGCACGCCUCGAAAGCGUGUGAGGUUAACAGCCUCCGUGGGUUCAAAUCCCACCGCUACCGCCG
rnacentral:tRNA from 1 species